CCCGUUGAUGCGCGCGGUCGUGGGGCGGGAGGGGAGGGUCCCCUAAGGGACCGAGCGGGCUCCUAGCGCCCUCUAGUGGCCUAGAAGAGCACACGCACCCCGCAAUCUUCGGCCGCGCGCCCAGGCCUCCUCCCAGCCAGUGGCCCACCGGAGGCUCACCUUCCCAGGGUCACCUGGGCGAUGUGUCCAGGGUCACAAAGCGAGCGAUGGCAGCGACCAGUGGGGAAUGCCAGCCUGUCGUCCAGCCUGCACGCCACCGCCCAUUGGUAAGGGUGCCUGGGUAUCCGGCUGUUUCUGCCUGUUGCUCCCAUCUCGACCACAGAAACCCAAGGCCAUGAAGUCAGCAAAGCAGGAAAAACACGGAGAAUAAGGCAUCUUGACCGGGGGCAGAGGACCGAGGCGGCCAGAGCUGACAUCAUGGUCAGGAGACGCCUAGUCUCAGCAGAACCGCCAACUUCAUGCGGCAUCAGCCCGCAGCCUCAGGGCCCCAGCCCCUUUAUUUUAAUUUUUUGUUUGUUUUGGCUGCGCUAGAAGCACGUGGAAGUUCCCGGGCCAGGGAUCGAACCCGUGCCACAGCAGUGACCUGAACAUGGUGCUGUCAAUGCUGGAUUCUUAACUUGCUGAGCCACCAGGCAACUCCCCAGCCCCAUGAAUCCUCCUGUUUUCUCCCCAGAAAACAAGACGGUCGUUUUCGGGACGUUAGUCUGAUUCGCUCUUCAUUCGCUGACACAUUGGACACUUCGUUUCGUUUCCUCAAAACCCUGCCUCUUUAUUCUCAUCCAGCCUGGGGGACAGGUACCGAAUUUCCAGUAUCAAAACCACUUGUCUUCACCUGCAGGAACUACUUCCUUCUCUGAAAAUGUUAUCCUCAGUGAUUUCGAACGUUCUGGGAGUUGGAACCUAUCCCGCUGCCGUGAACUCCAGCGUGAAACCACACAUACGCAGCAAGAGCUGAAGUUUUGACAAACGGAGAGGUUCCUAUGAGUCAAAUAAAGUUAGUGAGAAUAGAAACUAACGAGUUGGU
rnacentral:lncRNA from 1 species